AGAGUUUGAUCCUGGCUCAGGAUGAACGCUGGCGGCGUGCCUAAUACAUGCAAGUCGAGCGAACAGAUAAGGAGCUUGCUCCUUUGACGUUAGCGGCGGACGGGUGAGUAACACGUGGAUAACCUACCUAUAAGACUGGGAUAACUUCGGGAAACCGGAGCUAAUACCGGAUAAGAUUUUGAACCGCAUGGUUCAAUAGUGAAAGACGGCCUUGCUGUCACUUAUAGAUGGAUCCGCGCCGUAUUAGCUAGUUGGUAAGGUAACGGCUUACCAAGGCAACGAUACGUAGCCGACCUGAGAGGGUGAUCGGCCACACUGGAACUGAGACACGGUCCAGACUCCUACGGGAGGCAGCAGUAGGGAAUCUUCCGCAAUGGGCGAAAGCCUGACGGAGCAACGCCGCGUGAGUGAUGAAGGUCUUCGGAUCGUAAAACUCUGUUAUCAGGGAAGAACAAACGUGUAAGUAACUGUGCACGUCUUGACGGUACCUGAUCAGAAAGCCACGGCUAACUACGUGCCAGCAGCCGCGGUAAU
rnacentral:rRNA from 1 species